rnacentral:rRNA from 1 species
UACGGAGGGUGCAAGCGUUAUCCGGAUUCACUGGGUUUAAAGGGUGCGUAGGCGGGCAGGUAAGUCCGUGGUGAAAUCUCUGAGCUUAACUCAGAAACUGCCAUGGAUAACUAUUUGUCUUGAAUAUUGUGGAGGUAAGCGGAAUAUGUCAUGUAGCGGUGAAAAUGCUUAGAUAUGACAUAGAACACCAAUUGCGAAGGCAGCUUACUACACAGUUAUUGACGCUGAGGCACGAAAGCGUGGGGGAUCAAACAGG